GUCCAGACUCCUACGGGAGGCAGCAGUGGGGAAUAUUGCACAAUGGGGGAAACCCUGAUGCAGCGACGCCGCGUGAAGGAAGAAGUAUUUCGGUAUGUAAACUUCUAUCAGCAGGGAAGAAAAUGACGGUACCUGACUAAGAAGCCCCGGCUAACUACGUGCCAGCAGCCGCGGUAAUGCGUAGGGGGCAAGCGUUAUCCGGAUUUACUGGGUGUAAAGGGAGCGUAGGCGGUUUAGCAAGUCAGAAGUGAAAGCCCGGGGCUCAACCCCGGGACUGCUCUUGGAACUGCGUGGCUAGAGUGCAGGAGGGGCAGGCGGAAUUCCUGGUGUAGCGGUGAAAUGCGUAGAUAUUGGGAGGAACACCAGUGGCGAAGGCGGCCUGCUGGACAUUAACUGGCGCUGAGGCGCGAAAGCGUGGGGAGCAAACAGGAUUAGAUACCCGAGUA
rnacentral:rRNA from 1 species